UGAGGAAUAUUGGUCAAUGGGCGAGAGCCUGAACCAGCCAAGUAGCGUGCAGGAUGACGGCCCUAUGGGUUGUAAACUGCUUUUAUGUGGGGAUAAAGUGCGUGACGUGUCAUGCAUUGCAGGUACCAGAUGAAUAAGGACCGGCUAAUUCCGUGCCAGCAGCCGCGGUAAUACGGAAGGUCCGGGCGUUAUCCGGAGUUAUUGGGUUUAAAGGGAGCGUAGGCUGUCUAUUAAGCGUGUUGUGAAAUUUACCGGCUCAACCGGUGGCUUGCAGCGCGAACUGGUCGACUUGAGUAUGCAGGAAGUAGGCGGAAUUCAUGGUGUAGCGGUGAAAUGCUUAGAUAUCAUGACGAACUCCGAUUGCGCAGGCAGCUUACUGUAGCAUAACUGACGCUGAUGCUCGAAAGUGCGGGUAUCAAACAGG
rnacentral:rRNA from 1 species